GAGUAACACGUGAGUAACCUGCCCCCUACCCUGGAAAAAGCCCGGGAAACUGGGUCUAAUACCGGAUAUUACCUCUUGCCGCAUGGCAGGUGGUGGAAAGAUUUAUCGGUGGGGGAUGGACUCGCGGCCUAUCAGCUUGUUGGUGAGGUAAUGGCUCACCAAGGCGACGACGGGUAGCCGGCCUGAGAGGGUGACCGGCCACACUGGGACUGAGACACGGCCCAGACUCCUACGGGAGGCAGCAGUGGGGAAUAUUGCACAAUGGGCGAAAGCCUGAUGCAGCGACGCCGCGUGAGGGAUGACGGCCUUCG
rnacentral:rRNA from 1 species